ACAAAUCCUGUUUCUGCUAAUGAUUCAAGAAAACUGAUACCUUCAGCUCUUCGAAUGCCUUCACCCAAAAAGGGAUAUUUUGAUGUGGGAACUUCUUCCAAAACUGGAAGUGGCAUUAGCAAUGCUAGUGUAUUAGCAAAUAGAACAAGAUACGGAAAUCAUCGGUUGGCAAGUUCUUCAAGAGGACUUUUGAGUAAAACAGGUGUGAAGGAUGAGCAGAAGAUCUACUUAUGGGAUAAGAAGCAACCUCUGAAAGAGCAUGAAAACAUCAGGGUACAUUGCCCUGAAAAUGAUGUGC
rnacentral:misc_RNA from 1 species